UAAACUUGCUUAGGGGCCAGGCCACCCGGCCUGACCCGAAGGCCCUCUGAAAAGUGUGAGGGUUUGGGAAAAAAUAUAGGCAAAAAAAAUAGGUUUGGGCAAAAAAAAUAAUGCCCAUUUUAAAAUGAGACGAGCCUUGGGUAAGACAUUUGUUCUAGCCCAAUUUUUGCCCAAGCUAGAAGCCCGAAAAUAAACAAAUAAAACCCAAAAUGUUAACAGUUCAUUUACAAACCAAAAAAAAAUAAAAAACCAGACCCAAAAUUAAAUAAACCCAACAGGCCCAAAGGAAAAAAACUAUCCCACAACAAAAACUUUCA
rnacentral:lncRNA from 1 species